rnacentral:lncRNA from 1 species
UCAACAUGCAUACAUUCAUUUUCUUCAUAAGAAAGAACCACUAUCUCUUCACUUGAGCAAGUAGCCGUUGUAUUCUUGUCAUCUUCUUUCGUCUAUGCACUAUUCUCUUUUUGUUGUGUUUUCCAUACAUAGCAAUUUCUUUUCAUAUGCCCCACUUUACCACAAUGAAAAUAUUUGCCUUUUUCACCAAACCUUCCUCUAGACUGAGAUCUUUUUUUUAAAUUUACCAUGAGCUUUGUGUUCUCUGCUCUUACUUCUACCCCUAUUCUCCAUGAUAAGAGCUUGUGUAUUAUUUGUACCCGUUGACUUUUUUCUUGCUUCUUCAUUGAACAAGCUACUAGUAACUUGACUCAUUGACAAUA